GCGUCGAAAGGUGAUGGGGUUCCACCUAAUUGAACCGCCGAAUCGUUGAAGCGCACAGCGCUGAACAACCCUCUCGGCUGAUGACUCCUACUAAAAU
rnacentral:ncRNA from 2 species